UCCCUAGCAGUCCAGUGGUUAGGACGUGGAGCUUUCACAGCUGUGGGCCCAGGUUUUAUCCCUGGUUGGGGAA
rnacentral:tRNA from 1 species